rfam:Moraxella porci DSM 25326 strain CCTG 54912 54912T_ctg_0000002, whole genome shotgun sequence.
UUGGCAGACCAGACAAUCGCUGUCCGACCACUCAAUUUAAUUGGCAUGAUAAGUUGCUAUACCCAUGCAAAUACAGUUAAAUUCAGUGGUCGGAGGGAGGAAAGUCCGGGCUACACAGGGCAGCGUGCUAGCUAACGGCUAGGGGGCGAAAGCCUACGACCAGUGCAACAGAGAACAGACCGCCAACGCCAAUCGGCACGGUAAGGGUGAAACGGUGGGGUAAGAGCCCACCGCAUGACUGGCAACAGCUCAUGGCAAGGUAAACUCCACGCGUAGCAAGACCAAAUAGGUGUCCAAUCGGUUGCCCGCCGAGGAUACGGGUAGGUUGCUCGAGCGUGUCAGCGAUGGCACGCCUAGAUGAAUGAUUGUCCACGACAGAACCCGGCUUAUCGGUUUGCCAAUUUA